GGGUCGGACAGCCGCGCGGAGAGUGCCGAAAGGCCCUCUGUGAGGAAAGUCCGGGCUCCACAGGGCAAGGAUAGCGGGUAACGCCCGCCCAAGGCGACUUGCGGAAAAGUGCAACAGAGAUAUACCGCCCUGUAUGGUCUGCGCUGCAGGCCAUGCAGGGCAAGGAUGGAAAGGCGAGGUAAGAGCUCACCCGCCGGCUGGAGACAGUCCGGUGCUGUAAACUCUAUCCGGAGCAACACCGCAGAGGGGACACAGGCUGGCCCGGCCGUCCCCGAGAAGGUGGCUGGAACGCACCGGCAACGAUGCGUCUAGAUAGAUGGCUGUCAAGACAGAACCCGGCUUACAGACCCGGUCG
rnacentral:RNase_P_RNA from 1 species